GGCAGUGAUUUUGAAAUUCGGGUUUAGACAAAAAGAUAUUUCAAGCUCCUGAAGAACAAGUUUGAAGGAUUCAGAGCAGAGAAUUGCACCCUGGCAUGAUGCCUAUGCCAGCUGGACUGUGUGAUUUUUGUUCUUUAGUAGAAGGAUAACAUGACAUAGCAGGAAUAAUACUGCCUUUUCUUUCUGGCAUGGAUCAAGAGAAAAGAAAAUACAAGAAAACAGACAGAAGCAAGGCAAGGUACUUCUAUGGAAGGGUGAGCCCUCACAGAUGGAGCAAUGGGGCGCGCACACCUGAACAAGGGAGGGGAAGGAGUUCUUAUCCCUGAUGCAUGUGACCCCUGCUGCUGUGUCCUUCCCCUAUUGGCUAAGGCUUCUGACAGCUUUGGAGAUUGUGACAUUGGAAUAAAGGAAAAACGUACAGGACUCAUGAAGCGCUGAAAUGUUCACAAAUAUCAAGCAAAAGUCAAUGAAAUUUAUUUUGAGCUAUUUACAUCAUUUAAUAAUUGAGCAAGGUAUACUCCUAUGAACAAAAUUUGGAGCAUGUUUGUCUCUCUCUGCCUGGCGUCUUCAGAAUUUGGAAACUAGUUGUCAGGAGUUAACUUUUAUGUGACAAGCUUUACUAGGUCAGGAGCCUAUCGCUGUUUAUAUUCUCUGCAAAGUUUUAAUUGUGAAAAAGGAUUUGAGAGUCAUGGAAAUUUAUUUUGAGCUAUUUACAGCAUUUAAUAAUUGAGCAAGGUAUACUCCUAUGAACAAAAUUUGGAGCAUGUUUGUCUCUCUCUGUCUGCCUGGCAUCUACAGAAUUUGGAAACUAGUUUCGUUCCCAGAUUUCCUAAACUUUCCAGAGAAAAUGGUCUUCUCCCUGGCUCAGCAAGAAGAUGAACUUUAAACACUGAGAAACUGGUCAUCUCCCUGGCUCAACCAGAAGAUGAACUUUAAACACUACUCUCAAUGACUUGAUGUUCCCAUCACUACUCCUGUCAUAAAGGGAGGGGACUCAGAUAUUGAGAAUUUUAUGAUAGUGUGAACUGUCUGCUGUCAGCCAGGAGGGCAGAGCUGAAAUUUAUUGCCACAUCACAUGAAGCAUAGAACAGACUCCACUACUCCUUGAGAUUCAAAACUUUGCCUCUCACAAAGUUACCUUUUAUUUUCCUCUUGUUUGUCACUCAUCUCCCCUAGUGUGCUCUUUUUAUUUCUUUUACUAUUAAUAAUAAAAUCUGUGGAUGACUGUA
rnacentral:lncRNA from 1 species